UUUUUAGGAAACAUCUGUUUUAAGAGAACAAUAAUUCAAUUGACCAAUAGUUUAUUUCUAAACAAAAGAAGAAACAAAUUGAAGAACAUGAACAACAUGCUUAGCAACAGAAGCAAAAAAAAACUAAGUGUUUCAUCAAAACCUCUAGGCAAAGUGGAUUCCCCCCUGGCAAAAUAUCCUUUACCAAAAUACAUAAAAUACAUGUAAAUGUGCGUACUUAGGUAUAUACAUACAUAUGUGCGUACUAAUAGAACGAUUGAUUUGUUUAAUGUGGUGGAGAGAACUUUCCUUGAGAUUUUAUUAACAUGGUUCCCGCCAGCUCGAACUUGCAGACAUUUGUUUACUUGUGCCGACGUCACCGGUCAUUCACAAAUGCAUAAAAUAUCCUAAGCAGCAAGAUCCAUUGAUCUAUUUCCAAUAAAUCAUAAACCUUCGACAUAUGUACAUAUGUUUGUACAUUCAACGACAUUUAAAGUAGAAGACGAAAUUCUACUUUUUGCUCUUCUAUGUCUAAAAUUUGAAUUUGUUUGAGUCUGUGUAUACUAGUGCACAUAUUGCAUUUGAAAACAUUAUCCAGUAAAAACCAUUUUAAAUUAUUUUUAUGCUCGAUAAAAUUUGUUUAAAAAUUAUUUUAAAUCUUUGUCCAGAAGAAAAAAUUCCAACAAUAAAAACAUUUAAGUAGAACUGCAGUCUAUCUUUAAGCCCUGAUGGUUUAUUAUGGGAUUAGUCACUAGUUCAGCUAAAAAGUGUUAUGGAUUAGGUACAACUUUAUAUGAGCCAAUAUAACCAUAAUCUGAUAAUGAGCAGAAAAACAUAAAAUAAUUUUUGAAAAUAUUAAAUAUUAUGGUAGACCGAUUUAAAUUUUCCACUUUACAUUUUUGGUUUUCUUAACUAAAGCUAACACAUACGACGCCUCAGGAAUCUUAACAUGCAUAAUAUGCCGGAUUGUUAUCAAGCCAAAUGUCUGGAAGGUGCAUGUUAACUCCAAACAACAUAAAUUAAAUGUGGACUUGGCAAAGAAAAAUAAGACGACUAUUUUAGAUGUAACUUCCAAAAAAGAAUCUGUGCAGUCACUUUCCAACAUAAAUUGUAGCACAUACCAAGAUAAGACUGUACGAAAAAGUGAAAAUUCGGACACCAGGGUAACUGAACCAUUACCUGGUACAUUUUUCGAUUCAGAGAAGUCAAGUAAGUCUCAUCAAGCUGAUCCCAACGAAGAUGAAGAGUGGAUACGCUUUCAACGAGAAAUAAAAAUGGCUGCUACAGUUUCUAGUACUAUUGUUGCUGAAGAACAAGAAAAUAUUAAUAUUAAAAGACAACUAAAGGAAAUAGAUGAACAGAUUGACAAUUGGAAACGAUUUAUUAAAAUAAAUGACCAGAAGAAUAGUCUAAUAAGUAGGAAGCGCAAAUUCAACAAAGAAGUGGCAGUACAUUCGGAUUCAAGUUCAAGUGACGAAGAAUGUCGUGUAGAUGACUUGUUCGACUGGAGAACUAAAAACAUGCAUUAAAAAUAAGAUGGACUUCUAUUUCGCAAAUGUAUAUCAAUUUAUAUAUAGAGACAUGUUCAAUGAAAUGCAUGUUAUUGAGAAUACUUGCGGAAAAUCUAAUAAACGUUUCAUGCGUGCAUACUGUGUAUGUAUGAAAUCUUUUAAUAUAUUACCUGUACCUUAUAUUUGAUGUGUUAUUAUAUCUGAGCUCAGUAAGUGCCAUGGAUACCGAUUGAUACCGCAUGAUCUCUGUGUCUUUAGGUGUCUCGAUUCUCAAAAGCUUGAUAUGUGGGUUAAUCCGGGAAGUGAGUUAAUCGGGAAAGAGAAAUGCUAUCCUCUUCAUCAGUACUUAUUUCACUUUCUACUUUAAAACUAUAUCUGUCUGUCCGUCCGUCUGUCCGUCUGUCCGUACUGAUGAGUAGUAAGACACAGAGACCAUAAGAGAUAGGGCAACCAAGUCUUGCAUCCCGACUUCUGUAUGGUCACAAUGUAUCAAGUGUAUAUAGUAUGUGUCACACCUAGGUUAUGGUACAUUUAUACUGUGUACCAGGUAUAAAAGUUGUGACGCGCACAAAGCGUCUCACAAAGUUCAUACUCGUUUUUACAUACGCUGAGCAUACUACUAGGGCCCAGUAGUGUCAAACAUUUGGAGGUGAUGCAGACUGUUGCUGAAAAUACUGCG
rnacentral:lncRNA from 1 species